UACGGAGGGUGCAAGCGUUACUCGGAAUUACUGGGCGUAAAGCGCGCGUAGGUGGUUCGUUAAGUUGGAUGUGAAAGCCCCCGGGCGUCAACCCGGGAACUGCAUCCAAAACUGCUGAGCUAGAGUACGGUAGAGGGUGGUGGAAUUUCCUGUGUAGCGGUGAAAUGCGUAGAUAUAGGAAGGAACACCAGUGGCGAAGGCGACCACCUGGACUGAUACUGACACUGAGGUGCGAAAGCGUGGGGAGCAAACAGGAUUAGAUACCCGCGUAGU
rnacentral:rRNA from 1 species